CCUACGGGAGGCUGCAGUGAGGAAUAUUGGUCCAUGGACGAGAGUCUGAACCAGCCAAGUAGCGUGAAGGAUGACUGCCCUAUGGGUUGUAAACUUCUUUUAUAUGGGAAUAAAAUGUUCCACGUGUGGGAUUUUGUAUGUACCAUAUGAAUAAGGAUCGGCUAACUCCGUGCCAGCAGCCGCGGUAAUACGGAGGAUCCGAGCGUUAUCCGGAUUUAUUGGGUUUAAAGGGAGCGUAGGUGGAUUGUUAAGUCAGUUGUGAAAGUUUGCGGCUCAACCGUAAAAUUGCAGUUGAAACUGGCAGUCUUGAGUACAGUAGAGGUGGGCGGAAGUCGUGGUGUAGCGGUGAAAUGCUUAGAUAUCACGAAGAACUCCGAUUGCGAAGGCAGUUCACUGGACUGCAACUGACACUGAGGCUCGAAAGUGUGGGUAUCAAACAGGAUUAGAUACCCGUGUAGUC
rnacentral:rRNA from 1 species